AGCAAGGUAAGCUAAGCUCCAAGCUAUUGGGCUCAUGCCCCAAAAAUGUAUUAUACCCUUGCUG
rnacentral:tRNA from 1 species